GCCUGGGUGGCUCAGUCGGUUGAGCAUCUGACUUCAGCUCAGGUCAUGAUCUCGCAGUUUGUGAGUUCACGUCCUGCGUCGGGCU
rnacentral:tRNA from 1 species